AUUGAACGCUGGCGGCAGGCCUAACACAUGCAAGUCGAACGGUAACAGGAAGCAGCUUGCUGCUUUGCUGACGAGUGGCGGACGGGUGAGUAAUGUCUGGGAAACUGCCUGAUGGAGGGGGAUAACUACUGGAAACGGUAGCUAAUACCGCAUAACGUCGCAAGACCAAAGAGGGGGACCUUCGGGCCUCUUGCCAUCGGAUGUGCCCAGAUGGGAUUAGCUAGUAGGUGGGGUAACGGCUCACCUAGGCGACGAUCCCUAGCUGGUCUGAGAGAAUGACCAGCCACACUGGAACUGAGACACGGUCCAGACUCCUACGGGAGGCAGCAGUGGGGAAUAUUGCACAAUGGGCGCAAGCCUGAUGCAGCCAUGCCGCGUGUAUGAAGAAGGCCUUCGGGUUGUAAAGUACUUUCAGCGGGGAGGAAGGGAGUAAAGUUAAUACCUUUGCUCAUUGACGUUACCCGCAGAAGAAGCACCGGCUAACUCCGUG
rnacentral:rRNA from 1 species